rnacentral:lncRNA from 1 species
ACACACGCACACGCCACACACACACACGCAUGGAAAGAGGGAGAAAGAGAAGCCUCCAUUUUCUCUCUCUAAAUCUCUCCCAAAAUGGAUGGAUUUGGUGGAGAAGUAAGCUUGGAAGUUGAUCUUCAUCAACUUCAUCUUCUUCCUCUCCAUUGGAGCAUGCUUUGAAGGUAAGCUUUAAGAGCUUUAAUGGCAUUUCUCUAUUGCUUGGGUUUUAAGCUCUAGAAACGAAUUAGUAGCUUUCCUAGAUGCUAAGUAGAUGAUUUAUGCUUAGAUCCUAAGUUCUAAUGGUGGAUUUUUACCUAUUGAAACCUAGAGCUCCAAAAUGAGGGCUUUAAUGGUAGAUCUCUAAAGAUAGGUCUAAAUGCUUUGGAAAUGGUUUUAGUGGAACCCAUUGAUGCCUAAUAGAUGAUUAAUGCUUGAAUCAUAGAGCAAUUUAAUGAUUUCUUGCAUAGUUGUAAACCUAGGGCUCAAAAUGCAAACUUUCAAAAUAUGAGGGUUUGAUCUCAUUUGACCCUCCGUAAACCAAAUUGCUAGGUAAACGAACGCGUUGGCGAAGACGGUUCGGCAAUCCGACGAGCCGUUACAAAGUUAUUAAAGAAAUGGACGUUUAGGCUUCGGGUCCGCCGGGAGGGCCGAGGCGAUAUCGUAAAUUCAUGAAAAUGGAUUUGAAGCAUCGUGGCACAUAACCGAAGACCUUUAAUUUUCGGAUCGUGAAUUGGAGGCCGUUCGGGUGGUCGCGUGAGAGAUCGGGCCAAACCGGGUGCCGGGUGCCGCGGGAGGCCGAUUGCAAGUGUCGACAAGCAAUCGGAAUGCGAAAUGAGGUGGGUUGUGCUUACCGAAGCGACUAGGUCGCCCUUUAUGUCUAAGAAAUGAGAUUUCAUAUUGAUGCAUAUUGACAUAAUAUAAGAAUGUGAAAAGAAUGCAUGUUAACAUACUAUAGAAAUGCUAGAUAAAUGCAUAUGAUUAAUGCUUUGAAUGCAUAAUAUAAAGGGCGUAUGAAUGUUAGCAUUAUAAGAACAUCAUAAAAGGAAUGUAUGAUGACAUGUUGUAGAAUAUGCUAAAUGUAAUGCAUAAUGAAUUAAGUGCUAAAAGAAUGCAUGAGAUGCUAAGUAUGGACUAUUUUGGAUAAUGACUAUAUGUAUGUUGACAAAUCAUGUGAUGCUAGUGGUAUAUGUGCAUGAUGAUAUAUUAUGAAUUUACAUAUUGUGGAUUAUGUUAAAUAGAAAAACAUACUUGAUGACAUAUUGCCAUGUUGUGGAACAUAGUGGACAAUCUAUAUAUAUAUUAGAUCGAGUGGCAUUAAACCUAGCAUCUUGAACCUAGCAAACACUUGUGGUGAUUGAUCAUAUAUAUUCUGGUGUCAUUCAUGUAUGUUAGGACCCUAUUAUUGUGUAAAUGUGAGAGUUGGACUUGAACAUUAGUAAACAAGGGUGACAAUGACAAUAGAGACAUGAUUGGCAUCAAGAAAGUGAUUGUUAAACAUAGUUUAACCAUAUUGACAUUGGUCCAAGUUGACAUAGAGUGGCAUGAUUAAAUAGGUAGAAACCUAUUGUGACAUUGGCAUUGUGACUAGUGGCUAUGUAUCCUCAAGUUGAGGAUUGGAUCGAUACUCACGAUAAGUCUUGGCUUGAGGGAGGUAGCUCCCCCUCGGGCGGUGCGCUCCGGAGUUGGUCACCACUGGGCGUGGUAAAGUCCCACCAGUUGACGGUCCCUAGGGAGGUUCGAGUCCCCCGUUAUUAAGGGAUUUGGUUGUGAGUUAUUGGGGUUAACAUGGUUAACCGGUAAGAUUGGGUCAUAGCCAAAUGAGUGUACAACAAGUAUGCAUUAUGAGUUAUGGAUUUGGUAUCCUAGUCGAGAGGAUCUAGGGCUGAGGUGUAUGUGAGACGUCCAUCGCCUCGAGCCUGGUUCUAGUGCGGUACUCCGCAGACGAUUGACUCAAGACCGAGUCGGGUGGUUAGCCUUGUAAAGGUAGAUGAAACUUUAUGAUUAAAACGGUGAUUGACAAGAAUCUAAGAUAGAGGAAACCUUAGAUAUCAAAUGGAUGAGCUAUGGUUAGCAGAAUUGAAAGUAGUAUCGAAUGAACUACUAGUUGGUUGCAUAGUUGCAUUAUUGCAUGAUUUGCAUAUAGCAUUACAUUAUUGCAUUCGUGAGGCAAUGCAUGGUUUUAUUCGUUGCAUAAUCAAGAUAUAUAUCUAUCUGUUUAUUGAACUAACUUGCAGUUGCCUCCCUUGGACCUAUUGGUCGAGCUUUUCCCUUGGGUGGCCGUACCCACUGGGAACCAUGGAGUUGGUUCUCACCCCACGUGGUUUUGGGGUUUUUACAGGUUCGCACGUGAGCGGCGCGGCGGCGCGAGGCGAGGGCGUAGCAUCAUAGUUAGCGCCCUACCACCGAGACCAGAGAUAGCGAUACCCUGAGUCGGCCUUUACUUAGGGAUGUAAGAAAAUGAAAGGAAUAAGAUUGUAAUAGUCAUGUUAAAUCGGAUUGUAUUUGGAAGUUAAAUGUAAUAAGUAUUUGGGAUGUAAAAUGUAUGAAUAUGAGUGAAUGUAAUAAUAUAGGAUGUGUUAUGUUGUUUGAUACCUUCCAUUAAGCAAUCUUGAUUGAAAUGUGUUCCUGGUUGGAACUUCGCACAUUGUAUUGAUUGCUAUGCCUUGAACGUACAGGGGAGACUCUGUCCGCAGUACAGGAAAAACCCUGUCCGUUCGGCGAUCUGUUGGCGGCGCCGCGACCCGGCCAAAUAGGCAGGCGGUCGCGGGGCGUGACAGCCUCCACCCCUCUCAUUUCAGAAUCCUCAUUUGUAUUCUCAACUUUAAAGUAAUAGAAGAGCUUUCUUCUUAUCUCUCUCUUGUACUUAGUCUAGGGCGAGCGAGGUCCUAACUUAGCAAGUAGAGAGGCAGGCUUGCUCACUUCGCGAAGGAAGGCGAGCACCGCACGGGCUUUUGCAAGCAAAUUCGUUAAGUCCGUGACAGUUGGUAUCAGAGCCGGUUCGAGAAGGAGCCAUGUCGUCAUCAGAGGCCGCUGCUGGCGACGUUGGG